rnacentral:tRNA from 1 species
GGCGGGAUAGCUCAGUUGGCUAGAGCAUUCGGUUCAUACCCGGAGUGUCGAGGGUUCAAGUCCCCCUCCCGCUACCA